rnacentral:rRNA from 1 species
CGAGAAGCUUGCUUCUCUGAUGUUAGCGGCGGACGGGUGAGUAACACGUGGAUAACCUACCUAUAAGACUGGGAUAACUUCGGGAAACCGGAGCUAAUACCGGAUAAUAUUUUGAACCGCAUGGUUCAAAAGUGAAAGACGGUCUUGCUGUCACUUAUAGAUGGAUCCGCGCUGCAUUAGCUAGUUGGUAAGGUAACGGCUUACCAAGGCAACGAUGCAUAGCCGACCUGAGAGGGUGAUCGGCCACACUGGAACUGAGACACGGUCCAGACUCCUACGGGAGGCAGCAGUAGGGAAUCUUCCGCAAUGGGCGAAAGCCUGACGGAGCAACGCCGCGUGAGUGAUGAAGGUCUUCGGAUCGUAAAACUCUGUUAUUAGGGAAGAACAUAUGUGUAAGUAACUGUGCACAUCUUGACGGUACCUAAUCAGAAAGCCACGGCUAACUACGUGCCAGCAGCCGCGGUAAUACGUAGGUGGCAAGCGUUAUCCGGAAUUAUUGGGCGUAAAGCGCGCGUAGGCGGUUUUUUAAGUCUGAUGUGAAAGCCCACGGCUCAACCGUGGAGGGUCAUUGGAAACUGGAAAACUUGAGUGCAGAAGAGGAAAGUGGAAUUCCAUGUGUAGCGGUGAAAUGCGCAGAGAUAUGGAGGAACACCAGUGGCGAAGGCGACUUUCUGGUCUGUAACUGACGCUGAUGUGCGAAAGCGUGGGGAUCAAACAGGAUUAG